UAAAAAUCUCAAUCUUUAUUUAUUAAUUAAUUAUGUUUCCUAUUCUUAAUUUGACCUUCCAAUUAUAACUAGAGGUAUUAUCAAUCCAAAAAAAAAAAUAAAAAAUCAUUAAUCAAUGACAUCAACCAAUAACAACAAUUUAAUAAUUUAUAAUAAAAUUUUAUGUAAAAAAAAAUCAUUAUGAACAAAUUUUACUAAUACACGAUUAAAGUUAAAACAGAAAUUUUAACAACUAUUUU
rnacentral:lncRNA from 1 species